rnacentral:misc_RNA from 1 species
CUUGUGUACAUUAUUAAACCGCAAGCGCUAUUGUACCAGAUUUUCUGUGCAGCUAACUGCAAAACCCGAAAGGCUUCUCCUUCCCACGCGUGUUUUAGAUUCCAAUCUUCGGUUCUCUGUGUAUUUUCAGUUGCCAUGUUAUUUUAACAAAGACUAAUUACCAGAUUAAGGACGCAGAAUCUAUAAGCUAGGGUUUUUUUUUUAAUACCUCGUAAUCGCUUUUUUUUUUUUAAAUAUUUUUUAUUAAUUUGGUAAAAAAUUAAUUUAAUUUUGAGUUCCUGGUCUCACA